rnacentral:lncRNA from 1 species
GCCAGCAUAACUGAAGGAGCCCCCUUAGCCGGUGGAAUAAACUGACAAAAUGCCACCAGAGGCUGUUUCCCUGUGGCCCCGGUGAGGGGCUGCCGAUCCAUUUAUUCCGCGAACAGCUUUGAACUAGACCACGUCUCAGUCAUCUCUUCGCUUACUUCCCGGGAUCUCGCUCAGACGUACAGUGGUCUUCCUAACACCCAGUGGAGGCAGCCUAGAGACCCAUGCAGAAGGCAGGGUAACAGCCACAUGGGUCUCUGAAACCAGGAAGUCUGUCAUCACAGCUCAAGCACAGUCGGAAGGUAAAUCGAAAGGCAAUGGAAGCUUCUCAUCUCUUA